rnacentral:lncRNA from 1 species
UUUUUAUUUCUUGCCAUCAAGUAGAUGAAAGCCUAUGAGGAAGACCAGAUCAAUUACAGAAGAAUAAAAAGGUGAUUUGUUUUCGUACGUCCGGAGUACACUGUGAGUGAAUAUUGAUCCUGCUACAGUGAGUGGGUUGUUUUCACAUUUCUUCAGGAGUGAACAUUCCCUGGUCUUCUCUGUAAGCUUCUAAGUUGGAUCCCAGCUCACAAAGGCAUCAGAGUGCUUCUCAAGGUGGAGGGAAUGUGGGAGAAGAGCUCCUUCAUGGGGGACGCUGAGGAAUUGGCAUGCCUACUCCCCCAAGUAGUGCACUGGCAGCUGAAGCCAAGAUGACAAAAGAGAAGAUUAGAGACCCCCAAGACCUCACCAAGCCAGGGAUCUGGAAGAAAAAG